CUCAGGCCUGUCUUCCCCCAGCUCUGUCCAUUGUAGAAGUUAACCAUGGAAUCAUAGCAAUGAGGACACAGAUAAGGGACAUGUGAGCCAGAAGAAAUCCUGCAAUAGAAGACUAUCUCUGGAGUAGUAGCAUGUGCUAUCAACUGAAGGAUUGGGCCCUUGAAACAUAAAUAGGAAUUCAGCCCUUGAGGUUUGGUUCAAGCCUCCCUCAAGAACACCACUACAGUCAAUGAAACUUGUCCCAGUGUGGGCUACUUCUGGCAUGGUUUCAAGAGGCCUGAUCCUAAGCCCACUGAAGUCAAUGGAAAGACUGGUCCUAUGUCUUACUACACCUGUUGGACCAAACUUCAUUUUCUCAAGUGGUAAAUAUGGAACCUCAUUUUGCCUCUAAUUAUAUAC